AGGUACUGCUACAAUACAAAGUCUGAUCCGAACUCGUCGAGACUUUGGCGAUUCUGGAUUUGGGAUUUUUCCGGAUAUUAGAUCAACAGUUUAAAUCUAGUAAAAUGGUCUUUUUUUGAAAAGGAAAUCAGUUUACUAAGAGAUAGUUUAUUUCAGACGGAGAAAGAUCUGAAACAGCUUCAUCAAGAAAACAGGAGAACAUUUAUAUUUGGAUUAUCCAUAUUUAUUUUAGUAAUAUUUAUUCUAAUUUAUUGGCAUGCAUGAUACAUAAAAUUUUGCAUAAUUUUAAAUUGCACAAAUAUACUUUUAAGAAAAAUUCCAUUCUUUUGAAAAUUUUUACUGGUAUAUAUUACCAGUAAAAAAUUGUCACUUGGUACAUAUUAGCCAUUUUUAGAAUUCUUUACAUAUUUGAUAUUCAAUAAAGAAGUAAUAUUUCAAGAAA